rnacentral:rRNA from 1 species
GACGAACGCUGGCGGCGUGCUUAACACAUGCAAGUCGAACGAUGAAGCGGGUGCUUGCACUCGUGGAUUAGUGGCGAACGGGCGAGUAACACGUGAGUAACCUGUCCUUUUCUUUGGGAUAACGGCUGGAAACGGCUGCUAAUACUGGAUAUUCAGGCUGCAUCGCAUGGUGUGGUUUGGAAAGGUUUUUUCUGGGAUUGGGUGGGCUCGCGGCCUAUCAGCUUGUUGGUGGGGUGAUGGCUUACCAAGGCUUUGACGGGUAGCCGGCCUGAGAGGGUGGUCGGUCGCACUGGGACUGAGAUACGGCCCAGACUCCUACGGGAGGCAGCAGUGGGGAAUAUUGCACAAUGGACGAAAGUUUGAUGCAGCGACGCCGCGUGGAGGGUGUAGGCCUUCGGGUUGUGAACUCCUUUUUCUCGCGAAAAAGGCACAGUUUUGGCUGUGUUGAUGGUAAUGGGGGAAGAAGCGCCGGCUAACUACGUG